rnacentral:rRNA from 1 species
UAAGGAAUAUUGGACAAUGGACGCAAGUCUGAUCCAGCCAUGCCGCGUGAAGGAUGAAUGCCCUCUGGGUUGUAAACUUCUUUUAUAGGGGAAGAAAGAUACUUUUUUUAAGGUAGUUGACGGUACCCUAUGAAUAAGCACCGGCUAACUCCGUGCCAGCAGCCGCGGUAAUACGGAGGGUGCAAGCGUUAUCCGGAUUUACUGGGUUUAAAGGGUGCGUAGGCGGGCAUGUAAGUCAGUGGUGAAAUACCGGAGCUUAACUUCGGAACUGCCAUUGAUACUAUAUGUCUUGAAUAUUGUGGAGGUAAGCGGAAUAUGUCAUGUAACGGUGAAAUGCAUAGAUAUGACAUAGAACACCGAUUGCGGAGGCAGCUUGCUACGCAAAUAUUGACGCUGAGGCACGAAAGCGUGGGGAUCAAACA